rnacentral:lncRNA from 1 species
AAGGCAGUGACCUCAGCCCUCCCAACUGUGGCAGCGGCGGCGGCCCUGUCUGGCCUGGCAGUGCGACUGUCACGUGGGGCGGAGACACGCAGCUCCUACGGUGCGUUCUGCAAGGGGCUCACGCGCACGCUACUCACCUUCUUCGACCUAGCCUGGCGCCUGCGCGUGAACUUCCCCUACUUCUACAUGGUGGCCUCGGUGAUGCUCAACGUCCGCCUGCAGUGCGGAUCGAGUGAGCAAACGCCCUCCGCCACGGCGGAGAGGGCCAUCCGCGCCUUCCGCGCCAUCCUGGCGGCCGCAGGAAGGACAGCGGGGCGCACAGUGCCUCCAGACUGCGGCGGGGAGAGCAAGCGGCACAGCCAGGGCCCCUCCAUUUUAGGUCUCUGCGAAAGGCCUGAGAAACCGCAUCCCAAACCGCAAAUCCUUCACAGCCCAGUCCUUUUCCUCUGCAUCCAGAGAAUCACCAGAGUCUGGCAAACCUGUUGCCUCCCCAUUGGCCGAAAGCAGGGGAGCCCCCAAAAAGGGAUGAUUUACCAGGCACUUCUCUUUCUUUUUCAGGCAUUGGUCUUCUGGGGGAUGGCUCAGCCCUUCACUGAACAUUUCAACUCGGAUCCUAGAGGUGCCAUUGUUUCUGAGGCAGUACGGCUAGCAGCUAAGUGAAGAGCCUGCCUAGAAGGAGAAGAAGGGCCUUUCUGGUGAGCCCAGAGGGGUGAGGUGGCUCAGGUCACCUGGUCCCUCCACAGAAAAGGGUGGACACUUGGACACUGAUAUCCCCUGGCAACACUGUGAGGGAGAUGUGUUCUCCCACCUCAUGAACUCCAAUGGGGCUCAAGGAAGUGCCUGGGGUUUGCCCUUGUUAUACAGAGAAGAGAGCUCAGCCUGCCCUGGACCGGCAUUCCUCCACCCUUUCUGCAGUUUCUUCAUGACCUGGCAGGACAUUGGGGUUGGGAGGGAGUGGAGAGCUAGCAAGGGACCUAGGGAGAAAGAGGGGGCGUGAGAUAGAUGAGCUAGGCAUCUGCAUUUCCUUGCAGUGGUCUGGAAAACAGGUGAACAGUUGAUUUCAUAAACAAAGGGGAAGACUCAAGAAUUUCCUAAAUGUCUAGUCCCCUACCAGAAAGAAGACCCCCACUUCUCUGGUGCUUGACCGAGGGCUCCUGAGCACUUGUGUGCUAGGAGACUGCAGUGAGGAUAGCAUUGUGGUUUAUAGGGUCAUGAUGUCACUGGAAGGUUGAGGAGAUGUGGGCUGAGACCCAUGCUAUAGCCCUGUUUCCAGGCUUGCAGGCCUGUCCCUGGCAUCACAUGGGAAACCUCAUCCUGUUAAGCUGGGGACAGCCUGUCCAGGAGGCCCUCUGUAGGCUAGAAGUUGUGAUCUCUAAAUGACCAAGGACAGCUCAAGGGAUACUUUUACUUCUUAUCCCACACUCCCCCAGCUCCUCUGGCACUGGUAUCUCAAGGUCUAUGCAUUCCAUUCCUGAUAUGGAAACCUUCAGCAUGCCAGCCAGCCCCAGGGACAGAGUGGCCCAACUGCCCACUCCGAGUCAUGGACCCAGAUGAAGAUCUCAGUUUGUCUCCCCCAAAGGGCAUAAGCUGAAAGGUGGCUGCCACAUGGCCUCUGCUACUCACCAUAGGGCAGGACUGAUGGCUUCCUUCUCCCAAGUUUCACUAGUAGUCCACGUAUGUAUAUUGGAAUGUGUGUGCGCACGGGCUUGUAUAUAAAUGUGUGUGAUGGGGGUGGAUCCAUUGGGUAGGGAGAGAAGCUCCUGAGAAUCCCCUGUGUUCCAAGUACAGGAAGGAUCACAUGGACUACUGGGAGAAAUGAGUGUGAGGUCUGAGGCCCCUUCCUCUUAGACCUCACACUACAGGGAAGCCCAUCCCUGGCCAUGCUCAGGCAUGGGCUAUGGUGUGAGAUCAGAGGCACUGAUAUUAGGUAGACUUUGGGGCCAGUGGUGUCAGCCAGGACAGGGCAGAGCUAGGACUCAGCAGUGAGUUCAUGUCCCAUUCUGGCCCUGAUUAGUCUGUGACUUCUGCUUUCCCAUCCCCUCAGCUACUUUUGGUCUUCCAUGGUGCCCUCGCUGUAUGAUAUCAUGGUGCACUCUAUUUGCAGUCUAUACUGCAGGCAGGCAGCGGAGCUUCAACAAAUUCAGACUUAACCUGGAUGACCUGACAUCCUCAUGUUUACAUUUCCAUGUGCGAUGGGACUCUGCAUGGUCAGCGCUGUCCGGUCAGAGAUGUGGUUUCUGAAGUUGUCACAUGUUGUUUUCUC